rnacentral:rRNA from 1 species
GAUGAACGCUGGCGGCGUGCCUAAUACAUGCAAGUCGAGCGAACAGAUGAGGAGCUUGCUCCUCUGACGUUAGCGGCGGACGGGUGAGUAACACGUGGAUAACCUACCUAUAAGACUGGGAUAACUUCGGGAAACCGGAGCUAAUACCGGAUAAUAUAUUGAACCGCAUGGUUCAAUAGUGAAAGACGGUUUUGCUGUCACUUAUAGAUGGAUCCGCGCCGCAUUAGCUAGUUGGUAAGGUAACGGCUUACCAAGGCGACGAUGCGUAGCCGACCUGAGAGGGGGAUCGGCCACACUGGAACUGAGACACGGUCCAGACUCCUACGGGAAGCAGCAGUAGGGAAUCUUCCGCAAUGGGCGAAAGCCUGACGGAGCAACGCCGCGUGAGUGAUGAAGGUCUUCGGAUCGUAAAACUCUGUUAUUAGGGAAGAACAAAUGUGUAAGUAACUAUGCACGUCUUGACGGUACCUAAUCAGAAAGCCACGGCUAACUACGUG